UGGUGUCCUCAGAACUGGUGCAAAG
rnacentral:piRNA from 1 species